rnacentral:misc_RNA from 1 species
GAUGAAGAACGCAGAGAAAUGCGAUAAGUAAUGUGAAUUGCAGAAUUCAGUGAAUCAUCGAAUCUUUGAACGCACAUUGCGCCCCUUGGUAUUCCGAGGGGCAUGCCUGUUCGAGCGUCAUUAUAACCCCUCAAGCUCAGCUUGGUGUUGGGGCCUGCUGCACUGGCAGCCCUUAAAAUCAGUGGCGGCGCCAUCUGGCUCUAAGCGUAGUAAUUCUUCUCGCUAUGGAGUCCUGGUGGAUGCUUGCCAUCAACCCCCAAUUUUUCUAUGGUUGACCUCGGAUCAGGUAGGGAUACCCGCUGAACUUAAGCAUAUCAAUAAGCGGAGGA